CCCUUAGAUGUUCUGGGCCGCACGCGCGCUACACUGACGAAUGCAACGAGCUUAUAACCUUGGCCGAAAGGUCUGGGUAAUCUCCAAAUUUCGUCGUGAUGGGGAUAGAUUAUUGCAAUUAUUAAUCUUCAACGAGGAAUGCCUAGUAAGCGCAAGUCAUCAGCUUGCGUUGAUUACGUCCCUGCCCUUUGUACACACCGCCCGUCGCUCCUACCGAUUGAAUGGUCCGGUGAAGUUCAUGGAGUCGCGGCUGCUCCAGCUGUUUUCGAAGUGAAAUGGACCUCAUGAUUUAGAGGAAGGAGAAGUCGUAACA
rnacentral:rRNA from 1 species